UACAGAGGUCUCAAGCGUUGUUCGGAUUCAUUGGGCGUAAAGGGUGCGUAGGCGGUGUGGCAAGUCAGGUGUGAAAUCCCGGAGCUCAACUCCGGAACUGCACUUGAUACUGCUUUACUAGAGUACUGGAGAGGAGACUGGAAUUUACGGUGUAGCAGUGAAAUGCGUAGAUAUCGUAAGGAAGACCAGUGGCGAAGGCGAGUCUCUGGACAGUUACUGGCGCUGAGGCACGAAGGCCAGGGGAGCAAACGGG
rnacentral:rRNA from 1 species